rnacentral:rRNA from 1 species
UACGGGGGGAGCAAGCGUUGUUCGGAUUUACUGGGCGUAAAGGGCGCGUAGGCGGCCACCGCAAGUCAGUUGUGAAAUCUCCGAGCUUAACUCGGAAAGGUCAACUGAUACUGCGGGGCUAGAGUGCGGAAGGGGCAACUGGAAUUCUUGGUGUAGCGGUGAAAUGCGUAGAUAUCAAGAGGAACACCUGCGGCGAAGGCGGGUUGCUGGGCCGACACUGACGCUGAGGCGCGAAGCUAGGGGAGCGAACGGG